CUAACUGUGCAAAGGUAGCAUAAUCAUUAGUCUUUUAAUUGGAGGCUGGAAUGAAUGGUUUUAUGAAAUAUUAACUGUUUCAAUUUAAUUUAAUUUAGAAUUUUAUUUUUUAGUUAAAAAGCUAAGAUUUUUUUAAAAGACGAGAAGACCCUAUAAAUCUUUAUAAUUUAUUUUAUAAUUAAUAUUUAGAAAAUUUAAUUUUUUAUUUAGUAAAUUAUUUUAUUGGGGUGAUAUUAAAAUUUAUUAAACUUUUAAUUUAUAAUUUACAUAGAUUAAUGAUUUAUUGAUCCAUUUUUAUGAUUAGGAAAUUAAGUUACUUUAGGGAUAACAGCGUAAUUUUUUUAGAGAGUUCAUAUUAAUAAAAAAGGUUGCGACCUCGAUGUUGGAUUAAGAU
rnacentral:rRNA from 1 species